UACGAAGGGGGCUAGCGUUGCUCGGAAUCACUGGGCGUAAAGGGUGCGCAGGCGGCCGUGUGUGUCAGGUGUGAAAGCCCGGAGCUUAACUCCGGAAUUGCGCCUGAAACUACAUGGCUAGAGCAUUGGAGAGGGUAGCGGAAUUCACGGUGUAGCAGUGAAAUGCGUAGAUAUCGUGAGGAACACCAGAGGCGAAGGCGGCUACCUGGACAAUUGCUGACGCUCAGGCACGAAAGCGUGGGGAGCAAAAGGG
rnacentral:rRNA from 1 species